rnacentral:lncRNA from 1 species
AUCUGAUUAAGUUUGAGUUCUUAUUUGGACGCAGCCUGAACGUUGUGAAACACUGGAAUGGAUGAAUGAGAAAAGAGAUGGCCUUGCUUUCUCAAGCAGUUUUGGAGAAUGGGAAGCAUUUUCAUUGAUCUGUGUGGCUUUAAAACUACUUCAAGGGAUCUCUUUCAAUGUUGACUACAUCCCUGGAGAUACAAGAAGAAGAAUCCUAUUCCCACAGAAAGACCAACCUAGGAAAAAGCAACUUAUGACAUUGAUCAGAGAUGAGAAGACCUCUGUUGCAAGGGUCCAGCAGUCUCCAAAGACCUUGGAGAAGAUAUACAAGGCCACUCCUGUGGGCUGCUUGACAUGUGGUGUCCUGUGGGGGUGGAGUGACCACCCUAGGCAUCAGCAGUGAGGGUAGGAGUCACACAGGGUGAAGGACCUGCCACCACCCUGUUCCCUGGGGUUCUCUAGACCAGAGAUAGUCCUACUGUGGGAACACUGCCCUGCCCACACACAUGUGAUUCAAGUCCAGGGGAGGAGGGGUGGUGACCCCAGAACCCUGAAUAACCCUAUAUUCUACAUGAGCGAGUCACCCAAAAUCAAUAUGUCUGCACUGCUCAGGCAAUCCAAUUUUGCAUGAUCCUGCCAAAAAACACUUCUCUGGCCAGUGGGAGUGAUCUAGUCACAGGCCCCAGACAAUCACAGAG